rnacentral:rRNA from 1 species
UGCCUAUAAUGCAGUCCGAGCGAACAGAGAAGGAGCUUGCUCCCUUAUGACGUUAGCGGCGGACGGGUGAGUAACACGUGGGCAACCUACCUUAUAGUUUGGGAUAACUCCGGGAAACCGGGGCUAAUACCGAAUAAUCUGUUUCACCUCAUGGUGAAAUAUUGAAAGACGGUUUCGGCUGUCGCUAUAGGAUGGGCCCGCGGCGCAUUAGCUAGUUGGUGAGGUAACGGCUCACCAAGGCGACGAUGCGUAGCCGACCUGAGAGGGUGAUCGGCCACACUGGGACUGAGACACGGCCCAGACUCCUACGGGAGGCAGCAGUAGGGAAUCUUCCACAAUGGGCGAAAGCCUGAUGGAGCAACGCCGCGUGAGUGAAGAAGGAUUUCGGUUCGUAAAACUCUGUUGUAAGGGAAGAACAAGUACAGUAGUAACUGGCUGUACCUUGACGGUACCUUAUUAGAAAGCCACGGCUAACUACGUGCCAGCAGCCGCGGUAAUACGUAGGUGGCAAGCGUUGUCCGGAAUUAUUGGGCGUAAAGCGCGCGCAGGUGGUUUCUUAAGUCUGAUGUGAAAGCCCACGGCUCACCCGUGGAGGGUCAUUGGAAACUGGGAGACUUGAGUGCAGAAGAGGAUAGUGGAAUUCCAGGUGUAGCGGUGAAAUGCGUAGAGAUUUGGAGGAACACCAGUGGCGAAGGCGACUAUCUGGUCUGUAACUGACACUGAGGCGCGAAAGCGUGGGGAGCAAACAGGAUUAGAUACCCUGGUAGUCCACGCCGUAAACGAUGAGUGCUAAGUGGUUAGGGGGUUUCCGCCCCUUAGUGCUGCAGCUAACGCAUUAAGCACUCCGCCCGGGGGAGUACGGUCGCAAGACUGAAACUCAAAGGAAUUGACGGGGGCCCGCACAAGCGGUGAAACCAGGUGGUUUAAUUCCAAAGCACCGCGAAAAACCUUUACCAGGUCUUGGAAUUC